rnacentral:rRNA from 1 species
UGGGGGAUAUUGCACAAUGGGGGGAACCCUGAUGCAGCGACGCCGCGUGAGCGAAGAAGUAUUUCGGUAUGUAAAGCUCUAUCAGCAGGGAAGAAAAUGACGGUACCUGACCAAGAAGCCCCGGCUAAAUACGUGCCAGCAGCCGCGGUAAUACGUAUGGGGCAAGCGUUAUCCGGAUUUACUGGGUGUAAAGGGAGCGUAGGCGGCCUGGCAAGUCUGGUGUGAAAUACCGGGGCCCAACCCCGGGGCUGCAUUGGAAACUGCCAGGCUGGAGUGCCGGAGGGGCAGGCGGAAUUCCUAGUGUAGCGGUGAAAUGCGUAGAUAUUAGGAGGAACACCGGUGGCGAAGGCGGCCUGCUGGACGGCAACUGACGCUGAGGCUCGAAAGCGUGGGGAGCAAACAGG